rnacentral:rRNA from 1 species
CCCGCUGAACUUAAGCAUAUCAAUAAGCGGAGGAAAAGAAACCAACAGGGAUUGCCUCAGUAACGGCGAGUGAAGCGGCAAAAGCUCAAAUUUGAAAUCCUUCGGGAGUUGUAAUUUGUAGGUUGGGAGACCCCGCGGCUAGUGGCACCAAGUCCCUUGGAACAGGGCGCCUUAGAGGGUGAGAGCCCCGUAGGUACCACAACACCGUCUUGUGUCUCCUCUCCAAAGAGUCGAGUUGUUUGGGAAUGCAGCUCAAAGUGGGUGGUAAAUUCCAUCUAAAGCUAAAUACCGGCGAGAGACCGAUAGCGAACAAGUACAGUGAUGGAAAGAUGAAAAGCACUUUGAAAAGAGAGUGAAACAGUACGUGAAAUUGUUGAAAGGGAAGGGCUUGCAAGCAGACACGGCCUUCGUGCCGGGCCAGCAUCGGUUGCUAGGGGUGGAUAAGGAACAAGGAAUGUAGCUCCUCGGAGUAUUAUAGCCUUGCGCGAUACACCCACUGGCGACCGAGGCCUGCGGUAUUCUUUACCUAGGAUGCUGGCGUAAUGGUUGCAAGCCGC